UACGAAGGGUGCAAGCGUUACUCGGAAUUACUGGGCGUAAAGCGUGCGUAGGUGGUUUGUUAAGUCUGUUGUGAAAGCCCCGGGCUCAGCCCGGGAAGGGCACUCGAAACUGCCGAGCUGGAGUGCCGGAGGGGAGAGUGGAAUUCCUGGUGUAGCGGUGAAAUGCGUAGAUAUCAGGAGGAAUACCGGUGGCGAAAGCGACUCUCUGGACGGCAACUGACGCUGAGGCACGAAAGCGUGGGGAGCAAACAGG
rnacentral:rRNA from 1 species